UAAACUUGUCUCUGAUUUGGGGUGGGAUACUUUACGCAACAGAAGGACAGCAAAUAGAUUAACAAUUUUACAGAAAGCAAGACACCAUAAAGUAGCCCUACCGGUCGAAACUCAUCUAAAGCCUGUACCGCGCCAAUCGCGACACUCAAACCCAAAUUCUUACAAGGCUCUACCUUUUCACAAAGACUGCUACAGACAUUCCUUCUUCCCACAAACCGUGAGAGAUUGGAACU